rnacentral:rRNA from 1 species
CCAAUAGCGUAUAUUAAAGUUGUUGCAGUUAAAAAGCUCGUAGUUGAAUUUCGGAAUCAGUACGCUGGUCGUGCCUUCGGUAUGUACUGGUGUCACUGAUUUCUCCCUUCUGAAGAACCAUCAUGCCAUUAAGUUGGUGUGGCGGGAAAUCAGGACUGUUCCUUUGGAAAAAUUAGAGUGUUUAAAGCAGGCUCGCGCUUGAAUACAUUAGCAUUGAAUAAUGAAAUAGGACGUUGAUCCUAUUUUGUUGGUUUCUAGGAUUGACGUAAUGAUUAAUAGGGAUAGUUGGGGGCAUUAGUAUUCAAUUGUCAGAGGUGAAAUUCUUGGAUUUAUUGAAGACUAACUACUGCGAAAGCAUUUGCCAAGGAUGUUUUCAUUAAUCAAGAACGAAAGUUAGGGGAUCGAAGACGAUCAGAUACCGUCGUAGUCUUAACCAUAAACUAUGCCGACUAGGGAUCGGAUGAUGUUAAUUUUUUAAUGACUCAUUCGGCGCCUUACG